rnacentral:lncRNA from 1 species
CCACACAUAGCCAAAAAGGCUUUACAUGUGCCCCAUAAUAUCGUAUCCCCUUUCUUUGAAGCCUUCAUUUGAUCACGUGUACAUAAGUGGUAUGUAACUCGGUCGACUCUAGGAGUCAAUAAAGUUGUUAAGUUGAGUAAUUAUAGGAUUAUCUAGUCUCCCUAAAUAGUAGUUUGUGUAUUGCUUUUGGUUAUUCAAAAAAGAAAAGAAAAUAAGAAAAGACCCAGUCUCUGAGAUAACAAGAAAAAGAAAUAAAAGGAAGAAAAUUCAAAAAUA